rnacentral:rRNA from 1 species
GGGUUGUAAACUCCUUUCACCAUCGACGAAGGGUUUCUGACGGUAGAUGGAGAAGAAGCACCGGCUAACUACGUGCCAGCAGCCGCGGUAAUACGUAGGGUGCGAGCGUUGUCCGGAAUUACUGGGCGUAAAGAGCUCGUAGGUGGUUUGUCGCGUCGUCUGUGAAAUUCCGGGGCUUAACUCCGGGCGUGCAGGCGAUACGGGCAUAACUUGAGUACUGUAGGGGAGACUGGAAUUCCUGGUGUAGCGGUGAAAUGCGCAGAUAUCAGGAGGAACACCGGUGGCGAAGGCGGGUCUCUGGGCAGUAACUGACGCUGAGGAGCGAAAGCAUGGGGAGCGAACAGGAUUAGAUACCCUGGUAGUCCAUGCCGUAAACGGUGGGCGCUAGGUGUGGGUUUCCUUCCACGGGAUCCGUGCCGUAGCUAACGCAUUAAGCGCCCCGCCUGGGGAGUACGGCCGCAAGGCUAAAACUCAAAGGAAUUGACGGGGGCCCGCACAAGCGGCGGAGCAUGUGGAUUAAUUCGAUGCAACGCGAAGAACCUUACCUGGGCUUGACAUAUACAGGAUCGCGCCAGAGAUGGUGUUUCCCUUGUGGCUUGUAUACAGGUGGUGCAUGGUUGUCGUCAGCUCGUGUCGUGAGAUGUUGGGUUAAGUCCCGCAACGAGCGCAACCCUUGUCUUAUGUUGCCAGCACGUUGUGGUGGGGACUCGUAAGAAACUGCCGGGGUUAACUCGGAGGAAGGUGGGGAUGACGUCAAAUCAUCAUGCCCCUUAUGUCCAGGGCUUCACACAUGCUACAAUGGUCGGUACAGUGGGUUGCCAGUCCGUGAGGGCGAGCUAAUCCCG